rnacentral:rRNA from 1 species
GUGGGGAAUAUUGGACAAUGGGCGAAAGCCUGAUCCAGCCAUGCCGCGUGUGUGAAGAAGGUCUUCGGAUUGUAAAGCACUUUAAGUUGGGAGGAAGGGCAGUAAGUUAAUACCUUGCUGUUUUGACGUUACCGACAGAAUAAGCACCGGCUAACUUCGUGCCAGCAGCCGUGGUAAUACGAAGGGUGCAAGCGUUAAUCGGAAUUACUGGGCGUAAAGCGCGCGUAGGUGGUUUUGUAAGUUGGAGGUGAAAUCCCCGGGCUCAACCUGGGAACUGCCUCCAAAACUGCAUGACUAGAGUACGGUAGAGGGUAGUGGAAUUUCCUGUGUAGCGGUGAAAUGCGUAGAUAUAGGAAGGAACACCAGUGGCGAAGGCGACUACCUGGACUGAUACUGACACUGAGGUGCGAAAGCGUGGGGAGCAAACAGGAUUAGAUACCCCUGUAGUCC